GGGGCUGUAGCUCAAUUGGUAGAGCGUUAGACUGAAGAUCUAAAGGCAACUAGUUCGAAACUAGUCAGUCCCA
rnacentral:tRNA from 1 species